UCAGGAUGAACGCUGGCGGCGUGCUUAACACAUGCAAGUCGAACGAUGAACCUGGAGCUUGCUCUGGGGGAUUAGUGGCGAACGGGUGAGUAACACGUGAGCAACCUGCCCCUCACUCUGGGAUAAGCGCUGGAAACGGCGUCUAAUACUGGAUACGAGUUGGAGCCGCAUGGUUACCAACUGGAAAGAUUUUUUGGUGGGGGAUGGGCUCGCGGCCUAUCAGCUUGUUGGUGAGGUAAUGGCUCACCAAGGCGUCGACGGGUAGCCGGCCUGAGAGGGUGACCGGCCACACUGGGACUGAGACACGGCCCAGACUCCUACGGGAGGCAGCAGUGGGGAAUAUUGCACAAUGGGCGGAAGCCUGAUGCAGCAACGCCGCGUGAGGGAUGACGGCCUUCGGGUUGUAAACCUCUUUUAGCAGGGAAGAAGCGAAAGUGACGGUACCUGCAGAAAAAGCACCGGCUAACUACGUGCCAGCAGCCGCGGUAAUACGUAGGGUGCAAGCGUUAUCCGGAAUUAUUGGGCGUAAAGAGCUCGUAGGCGGUUUGUCGCGUCUGCUGUGAAAUCCCGAGGCUCAACCUCGGGCCUGCAGUGGGUACGGGCAGACUAGAGUGCGGUAGGGGAGAUUGGAAUUCCUGGUGUAGCGGUGGAAUGCGCAGAUAUCAGGAGGAACACCGAUGGCGAAGGCAGAUCUCUGGGCCGUAACUGACGCUGAGGAGCGAAAGGGUGGGGAGCAAACAGGCUUAGAUACCCUGGUAGUCCACCCCGUAAACGUUGGGAACUAGUUGUGGGGUCCUUUCCACGGAUUCCGUGACGCAGCUAACGCAUUAA
rnacentral:rRNA from 1 species